GCGCUCUCCGGUGGCCACACCGUGGGGCUCAGGCACUGCGUGUCCUUCGAGGUGGAAUUUCGUGUGUAGGGAUGAAAUCCGUAGAUCUACGAAGUAACGCCAAAAGCGAAGGCAGCUCUCUGGGUCCCUACCGCCCCUGGGGUGCGAAAGCAUGGGGGAGCGAACAGGAUUAGAUACCCUGAUAGUCCAUGCCGUAAACGAUGAGUGUUUGCCCUUGGUCUACGCGCCAAAAGCGAAGGCAGCUCUCUGGGUCUCUACCGACCCUGGGGUGCGAAAGCAUGGGAAGCGAACAGGAUUAGAUACCCUGAUAGUCCAUGCCGUAAACGAUGAGUGUUUGCCCUUGGUCUACGCGGAUCAGGGACCCAGCUAACGCGUGAAACACUCC
rnacentral:ncRNA from 1 species